rnacentral:rRNA from 1 species
UACGUAGGGUGCAAGCGUUAAUCGGAAUUACUAGGCGUAAAGCGUGCGCAGGCGGUUAUAUAAGACAGUUGUGAAAUCCCCGGGCUCAACCUGGGAACUGCAUCUGUGACUGUAUAGCUAGAGUACGGUAGAGGGGGAUGGAAUUCCGCGUGUAGCAGUGAAAAUGCGUAGAUAUGCGGAGGAACACCGAUGGCGAAGGCAAUCCCCUGGACCUGUACUGACGCUCAUGCACGAAAAGCGUGGGG